UACGUAGGGUGCGAGCGUUGUCCGGAUUUAUUGGGCGUAAAGAGCUCGUAGGCGGUUUGUUGCGUCGGCUGUGAAAUCCCGAGGCUCAACCUCGGGUCUGCAGUCGAUACGAGCAAACUAGAGUGUUGCAGGGGAGACUGGAAUUCCUGGUGUAGCGGUGAAAUGCGCAGAUAUCAGGAGGAACACCGGUGGCGAAGGCGGGUCUCUGGGCCGAUACUGACGCUGGAGGAGC
rnacentral:rRNA from 1 species